rnacentral:rRNA from 1 species
GGGUUGUGAGGUUAAGCGACUAAGCGUACACGGUGGAUGCCCUGGCAGUCAGAGGCGAUGAAGGACGUGAUAGGUUAAUGAGGCGAACCGGGGGAACUGAAACAUCUAAGUACCCCGAGGAAAAGAAAUCAACCGAGAUUCCCCCAGUAGCGGCGAGCGAACGGGGAGGAGCCCAGAGCCUGAAUCAGUGUGUGUGUUAGUGGAAGCGUCUGGAAAGGCGCGCGAUACAGGGUGACAGCCCCGUACACAAAAAUGCACAUAUUGUGAGCUCGAUGAGUAGGGCGGGACACGUGGUAUCCUGUCUGAAUAUGGGGGGACCAUCCUCCAAGGCUAAAUACUCCUGACUGACCGAUAGUGAACCAGUACCGUGAGGGAAAGGCGAAAAGAACCCCGGCGAGGGGAGUGAAAAAGAACCUGAAACCGUGUACGUACAAGCAGUGGGAGCCUCUUUUAUGGGGUGACUGCGUACCUUUUGUAUAAUGGGUCAGCGACUUAUAUUCUGUAGCAAGGUUAACCGAAUAGGGGAGCCGAAGGGAAACCGAGUCUUAACUGGGCGUUAAGUUGCAGGGUAUAGACCCGAAACCCGGUGAUCUAGCCAUGGGCAGGUUGAAGGUUGGGUAACACUAACUGGAGGACCGAACCGACUAAUGUUGAAAAAUUAGCGGAUGACUUGUGGCUGGGGGUGAAAGGCCAAUCAAACCGGGAGAUAGCUGGUUCUCCCCGAAAGCUAUUUAGGUAGCGCCUCGUGAAYUCAUCUCCGGGGGUAGAGCACUGUUUCGGCAAGGGGGUCAUCCCGACUUACCAACCCGAUGCAAACUGCGAAUACCGGAGAAUGUUAUCACGGGAGACACACGGCGGGUGCUAACGUCCGUCGUGAAGAGGGAAACAACCCAGACCGCCAGCUAAGGUCCCAAAGUCAUGGUUAAGUGGGAAACGAUGUGGGAAGGCCCAGACAGCCAGGAUGUUGGCUUAGAAGCAGCCAUCAUUUAAAGAAAGCGUAAUAGCUCACUGGUCGAGUCGGCCUGCGCGGAAGAUGUAACGGGGCUAAACCAUGCACCGAAGCUGCGGCAGCGACACUAUGUGUUGUUGGGUAGGGGAGCGUUCUGUAAGCCUGUGAAGGUGURCUGUGAGGYAUGCUGGAGGUAUCAGAAGUGCGAAUGCUGACAUAAGUAACGAUAAAGCGGGUGAAAAGCCCGCUCGCCGGAAGACCAAGGGUUCCUGUCCAACGUUAAUCGGGGCAGGGUGAGUCGACCCCUAAGGCGAGGCCGAAAGGCGUAGUCGAUGGGAAACAGGUUAAUAUUCCUGUACUUGGUGUUACUGCGAAGGGGGGACGGAGAAGGCUAUGUUGGCCGGGCGACGGUUGUCCCGGUUUAAGCGUGUAGGCUGGUUUUCCAGGCAAAUCCGGAAAAUCAAGGCUGAGGCGUGAUGACGAGGCACUACGGUGCUGAAGCAACAAAUGCCCUGCUUCCAGGAAAAGCCUCUAAGCAUCAGGUAACAUCAAAUCGUACCCCAAACCGACACAGGUGGUCAGGUAGAGAAUACCAAGGCGCUUGAGAGAACUCGGGUGAAGGAACUAGGCAAAAUGGUGCCGUAACUUCGGGAGAAGGCACGCUGAUAUGUAGGUGAAGUCCCUCGCGGAUGGAGCUGAAAUCAGUCGAAGAUACCAGCUGGCUGCAACUGUUUAUUAAAAACACAGCACUGUGCAAACACGAAAGUGGACGUAUACGGUGUGACGCCUGCCCGGUGCCGGAAGGUUAAUUGAUGGGGUUAGCGCAAGCGAAGCUCUUGAUCGAAGCCCCGGUAAACGGCGGCCGUAACUAUAACGGUCCUAAGGUAGCGAAAUUCCUUGUCGGGUAAGUUCCGACCUGCACGAAUGGCGUAAUGAUGGCCAGGCUGUCUCCACCCGAGACUCAGUGAAAUUGAACUCGCUGUGAAGAUGCAGUGUACCCGCGGCAAGACGGAAAGACCCCGUGAACCUUUACUAUAGCUUGACACUGAACAUUGAGCCUUGAUGUGUAGGAUAGGUGGGAGGCUUWGAAGUGUGGACGCCAGUCUGCAUGGAGCCGACCUUGAAAUACCACCCUUUAAUGUUUGAUGUUCUAACGUUGACCCGUGAUCCGGGUUGCGGACAGUGUCUGGUGGGUAGUUUGACUGGGGCGGUCUCCUCCUAAAGAGUAACGGAGGAGCACGAAGGUUGGCUAAUCCUGGUCGGACAUCAGGAGGUUAGUGCAAUGGCAUAAGCCAGCUUGACUGCGAGCGUGACGGYGCGAGCAGGUGCGAAAGCAGGUCAUAGUGAUCCGGUGGUUCUGAAUGGAAGGGCCAUCGCUCAACGGAUAAAAGGUACUCCGGGGAUAACAGGCUGAUACCGCCCAAGAGUUCAUAUCGACGGCGGUGUUUGGCACCUCGAUGUCGGCUCAUCACAUCCUGGGGCUGAAGUAGGUCCCAAGGGUAUGGCUGUUCGCCAUUUAAAGUGGUACGCGAGCUGGGUUUAGAACGUCGUGAGACAGUUCGGUCCCUAUCUGCCGUGGGCGCUGGAGAACUGAGGGGGGCUGCUCCUAGUACGAGAGGACCGGAGUGGACGCAUCACUGGUGUUCGGGUUGUCAUGCCAAUGGCACUGCCCGGUAGCUAAAUGCGGAAGAGAUAAGUGCUGAAAGCAUCUAAGCACGAAACUUGCCCCGAGAUGAGUUCUCCCUGACYCYUURAGRGUCCUGAAGGAACGUUGAAGACGACGACGUUGAUAGGCCGGGUGUGUAAGCGCAGCGAUGCGUUGAGCUAACCGGUACUAAUGAACCGUGAGGCUUAACCUUACAACGCCGAAGCUGUU